AUGAUUAGCUGUAGUACUGUGACAAAUAAUCAGGAAAGAUUAUUUUGUAGGAUGAUCAUUGUAUUCCAUAAUAAUAUUAUAGCCGCUGGCCGAACAAUGAAGGUUGCACUGCAACUACUCGACUACAAGUUUUAUGUGGAGUUUUGUUGUACAACCUGCACGAACUCAGUGAGAUCAGGAAUCAUCAUUGCUCACAUUUUUUCUCUUGAAUGGGAGGUGUCACCGCCGCAUUUUUCUCUGGGAAUCAACUAUGUUUCAAACAUUGUGUGUGGGCUCACCUUCAAAAUGUGGCAACGGGCCAUGCCCAUAUGGCCAUAUAUGAUCAAACAAACCAAACUGACAUGUGUAUACUAA
rnacentral:rRNA from 1 species